GGUAGAACACUUGCCUCUCAUGUGCAGGGCCCUGGGUUCAAUCCCUAGUACUACCAAAAAAUCAAAAUGCUUUACAUCAAAACCUUGAAUGAAUGAAUGAAUGAAUGAAUGAGUGUACAUGGAUAUAUAACUGAAACAAAAAGUUUUACAAGAAAGUAUGUUUACCUUUACGUUAGUGCAUACUGAUAUUUACUUUCUAUUCUACUUAAUUAAAAAUAUUACUGGUUAUAUCUCACUAAUUGGAGCUCUUGGUCUUGAGUUUGGAGAAACACUACUUCAUUCUACCAGAUGAAGUUGUCUAAGCCCCUUGGUAUAUUCAGUGCCUUCCCUGCCUCCUAUUCCAGCCUGUAGCUAAGUGGUGUAUAUUCAAACCCGGCAUGCUGGUAUGGCUGUAGUCCUAGCUGCUUGAAGGAUAAGGUGGGAUGUUUGUUCAAGUCCACCAAACUCGAUACCAGCCUGGGUAACAUAGUAAGACCUUGUCUCAAAAUGAACAAAUGACAAUGUCAAUGGCUUAUAUAGCACUUCCUAACCCUACUUUACACCAUCCCUCCUUUAGGUCUUGAUUCUUACUGGUCCCUCUCUGUAGGGCUUUUCCCUUUCUGUUCCUGUUCUUCCUGACUUUUAUAAUUGAGCAUAUAUAGUUCAUUGUACCAUUAAUAUGUAGUACUUGUCUCUCUUCAUAGUUGUUCCUGAAGCUAUGUGUCCUAGUCAUCCUUAGUGUUACUUUUAUGACUCCGUCCCUGAGUUCUGGGUAUAUUUUUGGCUGGUGUUUUCCAUUUUUUUUUUUUUUUUAAAUCAAGAGCCACAAUAGCUGGGCACAAUGGUAUAUGCCUGUAAUCCCAGUGGCUUGGGAGGCUGAGGCCAGAGGAUCACAAAUUCAAAGCCAGCCUUAGCAACUUAGAGAGACUUUGUCUCAAAAUUAAAAAACAAAACAAAACAAGGCUGGGGAUGUGACUCA
rnacentral:lncRNA from 1 species